AUUGAACGCUGGCGGUAUGCUUUACACAUGCAAGUCGAACGGUAACAGGCCGAAAGGUGCUGACGAGUGGCGAACGGGUGAGUAAUGCAUCGGAACGUGCCCAGUCGUGGGGGAUAACGCAGCGAAAGCUGUGCUAAUACCGCAUACGAUCUAUGGAUGAAAGCGGGGGACCGUAAGGCCUCGCGCGAUUGGAGCGGCCGAUGUCAGAUUAGGUAGUUGGUGGGGUAAAGGCCUACCAAGCCGACGAUCUGUAGCUGGUCUGAGAGGACGACCAGCCACACUGGGACUGAGACACGGCCCAGACUCCUACGGGAGGCAGCAGUGGGGAAUUUUGGACAAUGGGCGCAAGCCUGAUCCAGCAAUGCCGCGUGCAGGAAGAAGGCCUUCGGGUUGUAAACUGCUUUUGUACGGAACGAAACGGUCUGGGUUAAUACCCUGGGCUAAUGACGGUACCGUAAGAAUAAGCACCGGCUAACUACGUGCCAGCCGCCGCGGUAA
rnacentral:rRNA from 1 species